rnacentral:tRNA from 1 species
GCUAAUGUGGCGGAGUUUAACGCGAGAGGUCUAAGAUUUCUUUACGUAUAAUUAAGAUUAUACCAUUAGUU